rnacentral:rRNA from 1 species
CGGCGCACGGGUGAGUAACACGUGGGUAAUCUACCCUUCGGCUCGGGAUAACAUCUCGAAAGGGGUGCUAAUACCGGAUACGUUCCUCGAGUCUCUGGGCUUGAGGAGGAAAGCUGGUUUUCGGAUUAUCACCGAAGGAUGAGCCCGCGUCCCAUCAGCUAGUUGGUAGGGUAACGGCCUACCAAGGCUACGACGGGUAGCUGGUCUGAGAGGAUGAUCAGCCACACUGGAACUGAGACACGGUCCAGACUCCUACGGGAGGCAGCAGUGGGGAAUUUUGGGCAAUGGGCGCAAGCCUGACCCAGCCACGCCGCGUGAGUGAUGAAGGCCUUCGGGUUGUAAAGCUCUGUCGGGAGGAACGAAUAAACUCGGCCAACACCCGAGACUGACGGUACCUCCAAAGGAAGCAACGGCUAACUCUGUGCCAGCAGCCGCGGUAAUACAGAGGUUGCGAGCGUUGUUCGGAAUUAUUGGGCGUAAAGCGCGUGUAGGCGGUCCGUUAUGUCGAAUGUGAAAGCCCUUGGCUUAACCAAGGAAGUGCAUCCGAAACUGGCGGACUUGAGUACCGGAGAGGGUGGCGGAAUUCCCGGUGUAGAGGUGAAAUUCGUAGAGAUCGGGAGGAACACCCGUGGCGAAGGCGGCCACCUGGACGGAUACUGACGCUGAGACGCGAAAGCGUGGGUAGCAAACAGGAUUAGAUACCCUGGUAGUCCACGCUGUAAACGAUGGUCACUAGCUGUCGCGGGUAUUGACCCCUGCGGUGGCGACGCUACGCAUUAAGUGACCCGCCUGGGGAGUACGGUCGCAAGACUAAAACUCAAGGAAUUGACGGGGGCCCGCACAAGCGGUGGAGCAUGUGGUUUAAUUCG